GAGGAAAAGAAACCAACAGGGAUUGCCUCAGUAACUGCGAGUGAAGUGGCAAAAGCUCAAAAUUGAAAUCCGGUGCCUUUGGUGCCUGAGUUGUAAUUUGGAGAGACAAAUUUGGUUGGCGGCGCCGGCCUAGGUUCCUUUGAACAGGACAACGUAGAGGGUGAGAAUCCCGUGCCUGGCUGGAUGACCGUCUCGCUUCUAAAUUGUCUUCGACGAGUCGAGUUGUUUGGGAAUGCAGCUCAAAAUGGGUGGUAAAUGUCAUCUAAAGCUAAAUAUUGGCGAGAGACCGAUAGCGCACAAGUAGAGUGAUCGAAAGAUGAAAAGCACUUUGAAAAGAGAGUCAAAAAGUACGUGAAAUUGCUGAAAGGGAAGCGCUUGAGACCAGACUCGAACCGUGGUGAUCAGCCGCGCUUCUGCGCGGUGCCACUUGCCACGGUUUGGGCCAGCAUCGGUUCUGGCGGUCGGAUAAAAGGUGGAGGAAUGUAGCUUCCUUCGGGGAGUGUUAUCAGCCCCCACCACAAUGCGGCCAGCCGGGACCGAGGACCGCGCGGACUUCUGCUAGGAUGCUGGCGUAAUGGUCUUAAGCGACCCGUCUUGAAACACGGACCAAGGAGUCUAACAUCUAUGCGAGUGUUCGGGUGGAAAACCCUUGCGCG
rnacentral:rRNA from 1 species